rnacentral:rRNA from 1 species
GACGAACGCUGGCGGCGUGCUUAACACAUGCGAGUCGAACGGAAAGGCCCUGCUUUUGUGGGGUGCUCGAGUGGCGAACGGGUGAGUAACACGUGAGUAACCUGCCCUUGACUUUGGGAUAACUUCAGGAAACUGGGGCAAAUACCGGAUAGGAGCUCCUGCUGCAUGGUGGGGGUUGGAAAGUUUCGGCGGUUGGGGAUGGACUCGCGGCUUAUCAGCUUGUUGGUGGGGUAGUGGCUUACCAAGGCUUUGACGGGUAGCCGGCCUGAGAGGGUGACCGGCCACAUUGGGACUGAGAUACGGCCCAGACUCCUACGGGAGGCAGCAGUGGGGAAUAUUGCACAAUGGGCGGAAGCCUGAUGCAGCAACGCCGCGUGCGGGAUGACGGCCUUCGGGUUGUAAACCGCUUUCGCCUGUGACGAAGCGUGAGUGACGGUAAUGGGUAAAGAAGCACCGGCUAACUACGUG